UGUGGGUUGUGAAUAACAAUUCGUGCCGUCGCAAACGCAAUAAGUACCCCGCCUGAGGAGUACGAUCGCAAGAUUAAAACUCAAAGGAAUUGACGGGGACCCGCACAAGCAGCGGAGCAUGUGGUUUAAUUCGAAGCAACGCGAAGAACCUUACCAGGGCUUGACAUAUAGAGGAAUAAACUAGAGAUAGUUUAGCUCUUCGGAGUCUCUAUACAGGUGGUGCAUGGUUGUCGUCAGCUCGUGUCGUGAGAUGUUGGGUUAAGUCCCGCAACGAGCGCAACCCCUGUUCUUAGUUGCCAGCGAGUAGAGUCGGGAACUCUAAGAAGGCUGCCGGUGAUAAAUCGGAGGAAGGUGGGGACGACGUCAAAUCAUCAUGCCCUCUAUGUCCUGGGCUACACACGUACUACAAUGGCUAUAACAAAGGGAAGCGAAACCGCGAGGUGGAGCAAAACCCAAAAAAGUAGUCUCAGUUCGGAUUGAAGGCUGAAAUUCGCCUUCAUGAAGCCGGAAUUGCUAGUAAUGGCAGGUCAGCAUACUGCCGUGAAUACGUUCCCGGGCCUUGUACACACCGCCCGUCACACCAUGAGAGUUGGGAAUACCCGAAGCCUGUGGGCUAACC
rnacentral:rRNA from 1 species